rnacentral:rRNA from 1 species
GAUGAACGCUGGCGGCGUGCCUAAUACAUGCAAGUCGAGCGAACAGAUAAGGAGCUUGCUCCUUUGACGUUAGCGGCGGACGGGUGAGUAACACGUGGGUAACCUACCUAUAAGACUGGAAUAACUCCGGGAAACCGGGGCUAAUGCCGGAUAACAUUUAGAACCGCAUGGUUCUAAAGUGAAAGAUGGUUUUGCUAUCACUUAUAGAUGGACCCGCGCCGUAUUAGCUAGUUGGUAAGGUAACGGCUUACCAAGGCAACGAUACGUAGCCGCCCUGAGAGGGUGAUCGGCCACACUGGAACUGAGACACGGUCCAGACUCCUACGGGAGGCAGCAGUAGGGAAUCUUCCGCAAUGGGCGAAAGCCUGACGGAGCAACGCCGCGUGAGUGAUGAAGGUCUUCGGAUCGUAAAACUCUGUUAUUAGGGAAGAACAAAUGUGUAAGUAACUGUGCACGUCUUGACGGUACCUAAUCAGAAAGCCACGGCUAACUACGUG